rnacentral:rRNA from 1 species
UACAGAGGGUGCGAGCGUUAAUCGGAAUUACUGGGCGUAAAGCGUGCGUAGGUGGAUAAUUAAGUCAGAUGUGAAAGCCCCGGGCUCAACCUGGGAAUUGCAUCUGAUACUGGUAGUCUAGAGUAUGGUAGAGGAUGGCGGAAUUUCCGGUGUAGCGGUGAAAUGCGUAGAUAUCGGAAGGAACACCAGUGGCGAAGGCGGCCGUCUGGGCCAAUACUGACACUGAGGCACGAAAGCGUGGGUAGCAAACAGG